GCCUGAAUGCGAUGUGGAAAACUUUGUUGUCUAUUGGGAAACACUCCUUACAGAAAAAGAAUAAAAUCCUAAUUUUAAAGAUUUUUUCAUGGGUUUAUUCGAGACAGAGAUAGGUUCCCAUCCAGUUCCCUGCGAUGUUGAAGGAAAGAUAUUGUAUAAAAGAUAUACUACCUGCAGGAAGACCUUCAUGGAAGAAGUAUCAGUCCAAAAGGAAAAAUCUUUUCUUUCUUCCUCACCAGCUUCUUUGAGUUAUGAAGGGUUCGCUAAGAAAUAUUUGCUUCUGAUUCAGUUAUCUUUCCUUUUCAGCCCUGGAUAUUUUCCUGCAUCUCAUCUUCAACAGAAAACUGCCUGUCUGAAUGCUGCUUGUUGCUAAUUUACAGUUGUCACUCCUGAGUCUGCCCAGGAUUCCAUACUGCCUGGCUUAUGUAUUGAAACAGCAAGCUUUCGUUUGCAACCAAGGUGUCCUGACAUUCCCACCAAUUGUUUGCUAAACACAGUUGUUGAAUGACUGCAAAACCCAAUUCCAAUGGCCAUAUCUUGUUCUCUGCCAACACCUCUCACCUCUGGUUCAGGAAAAUUAUGCCAUCUUGGAGAGGAAACAUGUCUUGCAGGUCAUCUUCUGUGCCUUCCAAAAUACUG
ensembl:lncRNA